rnacentral:rRNA from 1 species
CAGUCGCCGCGGUAAUACGAAGGGAGCUAGCGUUGUUCGGAAUUACUGGGCGUAAAGCGCGCGUAGGCGGUUACUCAAGUCAGAGGUGAAAGCCCGGGGCUCAACCCCGGAACUGCCUUUGAAACUAGGUGACUAGAAUCUUGGAGAGGUCAGUGGAAUUCCGAGUGUAGAGGUGAAAUUCGUAGAUAUUCGGAAGAACACCAGUGGCGAAGGCGACUGACUGGACAAGUAUUGACGCUGAGGUGCGAAAGCGUGGGGAGCAAACAGGAUUAGAUACCCGCGUAGUCCCUGUCUCUUAUAC